UACGUAGGGUGCGAGCGUUGUCCGGAAUUAUUGGGCGUAAAGAGCUCGUAGGCGGCUUGUCACGUCGGUUGUGAAAGCCCGGGGCUUAACCCCGGGUCUGCAGUCGAUACGGGCAGGCUAGAGUUCGGUAGGGGAGAUCGGAAUUCCUGGUGUAGCGGUGAAAUGCGCAGAUAUCAGGAGGAACACCGGUGGCGAAGGCGGGUCUCUGGGCAGUAACUGACGCUGAGGAGCGAAAGCGUGGGGAGCGAACAGG
rnacentral:rRNA from 1 species